rnacentral:rRNA from 1 species
UGAGAGUUCAAGAGUACGUGAAACUGUGUGGUGGUAAACGGAGGGGUUCUCGAAGUUUCUGCGUGGAACUCAACCUUGGUGUCGGGCGGUCCUGGUGUAUCUGAUCAGCAAUGACUGUGCGCUUGGUUCGGCUUGGCUCCCGGGUGCAUUUUCCAAGCAGUUUACGGCAGGAACCGUUUGGCUCGGACCAAAGGCCUCGGGCGAAGUUGUAGGUAUUUUGCUUGCAGCCCCGGGUGUCCUGGCUCUGCGCUCGACGGGUACGUGAGAGGACUCGUAUAGCGAGCAACGCUCUGUUGCGGUUCUCAUCUCUCUGCCGAGUAGGUCGGCGGCCCCUCCGACCCGUCUUGAAACACGGAA